UACAGAGGGUGCAAGCGUUGUUCGGAAUUAUUGGGCGUAAAGCGCGUGUAGGCGGCUUUGCAAGUCGGGUGUGAAAUCCCUCAGCUCAACUGAGGAAGUGCGCCCGAAACUGCAGAGCUUGAGUACCGGAGAGGAUGGCGGAAUUCUCGGUGUAGCAGUGAAAUGCGUAGAUAUCGAGAGGAACACCAGUGGCGAAGGCGAGUCUCUGGACGACUCCUGACACUGAGGCACGAAAGCUAGGGGAGCAAACAGG
rnacentral:rRNA from 1 species